rnacentral:rRNA from 1 species
GACGAACGCUGGCGGCGCGCCUAACACAUGCAAGUCGAACGAGGAUGCAAAGAAGCUUGCUUCAUUGCAUUCUAGUGGCGAACGGGUGAGUAACACGUGAGUAACCUGCCUUACAGAGGGGGAUAACGUUUGGAAACGAACGCUAAUACCGCAUAACAUUGUUUUUUCGCAUGGAGAGACAAUCAAAGGAGUCAAAUCCGCUGAAAGAUGGGCUCGCGCCCGAUUAGAUAGUUGGUAGGGUAACGGCCUACCAAGCCAACGAUGAGUAGCCGGCCUGAGAGGGUAAUCGGCCACACUGGGACUGGAACACGGCCCAGACUCCUACGGGAGGCAGCAGUGGGGAAUAUUGCGCAAUGGGCGAAAGCCUGACGCAGCGACGCCGCGUGAGGGAUGAAGGCCUUCGGGUCGUAAACCUCUGUCAGGAGGGAAGAAGUGCAUUCGUGCUAAUCAGCGAAUGUUUGACGGUACCUCCAAAGGAAGCACCGGCUAACUCCGUGCCAGCCGCCGCCGUAAAAC